ensembl:lncRNA
AGGGAACUGGAAAGUGGAGGAGCUGAAAGCAGUCUGCAUGGAUGAUGCUGUAACCUCUCUGGGCAGCUCUGUGCCCACCUGAGCUGGGCUAGGCUGUGGAGGAACAGAUGGCACGUGCCAGUCUCGAUGACCUCUCCAUUUACUUCACACUGACUGAGCACCCACCAUGUACCAAGCCCCAUGCUGCCAGCCUUGCUAACAGUCUAGUCUGGGAGGUCAAUGCUGCCCAGUUUCACGGCCUCAGGUAUACUAUCAGCCCCUAUUGGGCUGCUCUCCAAGUGCCCAGAAGAACUUAAAGACAGACCACAGAGUGCAGAAUAUCAGAACUGUGCAAAGAACAUAUAAGGACUGACAUGUACCCACUAGGGUAUUGCAAAAAUGGCAGCGUGACUUCUGAGAUUCCUUCAUAAAAGACAUUGCAGCUUCUGCCUUAUUCUCUUUUGGAUCACUUGCUCUAGGCUAGCGGAAGCCAGCUGCUCUGUUGUAAGCACACUCAAGCAGCC